rnacentral:rRNA from 1 species
AAUGAAUUGACGGGGGCCCGCACAAGCGGUGGAGCAUGUGGUUUAAUUCGAUGCAACGCGAAGAACCUUACCUACUCUUGACAUCCAGCGAACUUUCCAGAGAUGGAUUGGUGCCUUCGGGAACGCUGAGACAGGUGCUGCAUGGCUGUCGUCAGCUCGUGUUGUGAAAUGUUGGGUUAAGUCCCGCAACGAGCGCAACCCUUAUCCUUUGUUGCCAGCGAUUCGGUCGGGAACUCAAAGGAGACUGCCGGUGAUAAACCGGAGGAAGGUGGGGAUGACGUCAAGUCAUCAUGGCCCUUACGAGUAGGGCUACACACGUGCUACAAUGGCGCAUACAAAGAGAAGCGACCUCGCGAGAGCAAGCGGACCUCAUAAAGUGCGUCGUAGUCCGGAUCGGAGUCUGCAACUCGACUCCGUGAAGUCGGAAUCGCUAGUAAUCGUGGAUCAGAAUGCCACGGUGAAUACGUUCCCGGGCCUUGUACACACCGCCCGUCACACCAUGGGAGUGGGUUGCAAAAGAAGUAGGUAGCUUAACCUCCGGGAGGGCGCUUACCACUUUGUGAUUCAU